GGCGGAGGCCAGCGGGCCCGCGGCGGGGCCGGGCCGGGCCGGGCUCUUCCUCGCGUGGUGCCCCGGUCCGCGGCGGAGGGGUCGGUGGGAGCCCUGCCCGGUCCCCCGGGCACAGCUCUGCCGCCCUUCGCCCGCCGGAGCAGCCCCGGGGCGGCGCGGCCUGUUGGGGGGUCUCCGAAAGAGGCCCUCGGGGAGCCCCGCUGCGGCGGGGCCGGGCGUGAGGGGAGAAACGAAAAUACGAACGCCUGCAGGAGAAAAAACAGCUACCUCUGGUGGGAUUUGUAGAAACUUGUCUUCUCUGAGCAUCUGACAGCCUAGCGAGACAUGAGCAAGAAAAGAUAGCUUUUGAACACUACCAGGUAAAUGGCUUGUCUGGUACGUCAUCAUCAGGACUCCAAGAUGCUCCACAACACCUGACUGGCAGGAGAAACCCACUAGACUUGCAUGGAGUCUUACCUUUCUUCCUCGUUCUCAGGCUAAUGCCUUGCUCUGUGUCAGCAACAGGAAUUUUGGAUUUGAACAGUCACCUCUUGUGCAAACAAUCCAUAUUUCUGUGUGUACAUAUACAUCCCUGUGUGUAUAUGCUCAGACGGUACAUACUGGUUGCAAAGCUGCCCUUUCCGGGUAGCAGGCAGGAGGACCCUUUGCACAGAAAAGGGAGUGGGAUUUGCCUCUGUCUGGCUUGUCAAGGUCAGUCACGAAGUCUGAAGCAAAGCCAGGAGGAGUAUCCAGAUCUCCUGACUCUCUGGUUUUGCCACAGGGCUGCUGCUUCAUCCUUUUCUUUUCAGUUGCCAGUAGAAUAUGUUGUUUACAACGUGUUUGUGAAAAAUUGUAAUUGACUUAUGACAGAGUCAGAAAAAGGGUAAAAAAUAAACUGAGGUUUGCUUGGCUUGUUAACCAGACCAAUGGUCUCACUCCGCACUUUUGGGCACUCCAGCCAGCAUGAGGAGGAUGAACUGCAGGCAUUGGAGCCAGGGAGUAAUUCGCAGUGUGUGAGCAGUGCACUGAGCUCAGUAAUGCUGUUUGCACCUACAGGUUUGCCUGUCCUGAGCCUUGGCAAAGCUGAGAUCUGUGGAAGUUCUGGGCACAGGCAUGAAGAGGUAUUAAAGUUUUGAGUCUUGUGGAAGAAGGAUUGCAAAUGCAGAACUAACGAAGGAAUUUCUUUUCCCCUCACCUCACUUUAAAGGCUAUGAACUGAAAGGCAGCAGUUGGUAGAGGCAAGUAGAGAACCAGCUAAUGUAAUUGUUAUAGCUGCCUUGUCGUGCGCUGCAGCUAUGAUAGUGUACAACAGCUGGGAAUCUUCCCAAAUAUUAGAUCAUUUUAGUUUAUACAAAAAUAGCAGUUUAGACUGAUACUUGUUAGCCCUGGUGUGAGUUGUUGGUGUUUCUUUAAGCCUUUAUGAAACACAUUUUAAAAUGGGUUACAUCCACAGGGAUGUAGCCAGUAUUAUUCAUUCUUAUUCCACUCCUUUAUUGGGUUUUUUUUUAUUAUUUGGGCUUUUUUUCUUUGUUUUUUUAAUUUGUUGGGGGGUUUUGUAGACAUUCUAGGAUAUUCUAUGCAGUGGAAUAUUUCCAGGCCUCUUUUACUAUCAGUGUUGCCUUUAAAACUAAAGUAAUUACUUGUGUUUGAAAUCAUUAUUUGUAUUUGUUUUUAAAAUUUUAACUUCCACAGAAUAUAUUAUCUUAACAGUGUUUUAUAAUAGGAAGAAUGAUUUUGAAAAUGGCAAUUACAAAGCUAUUGAUAGAAAAGUACUGAUUACUGUAUGCAACCUGAGUCAAUAGUCCAUGCUUAAUUAUAAUGAGGCCCAAGUGCAACCCACUGCAAGGCCAAGGCAAAUGUGUGUUUUGGAUGGCAGAGAAAACAACAGAAAGAUAAAAGAUCUUCCGUCUCAAUUUUAUGUCCGGCAGAGAAUGAGAUCUGAAAAUGGGAGAAUAUUUUGUGUGUGGUGACUUCUUCCGUUGAUCUGUGCCCAUUUAACUUCUAAAGUUGCCUUUCCUUAUAGGAGAAGAGCAACUCCCUGGGGUUGUGGCAGUACAAUUGCUCUGCAUUUCUCAGUUUGUGCUGCAGAUACCAGAGGUGAAGAUGGUAUUCCAGCUGUAAUAAUACGAAGCCCAAAUACAGACAUGAUAUUUGCUUAUUUUGCUGAUGCCACGGCCAAAGAACCUGUUUAGCCCUCGCAGAUACUGUAACAGUGAACUCUGGGAGCUUGUGUUCAGCUGUGAUUCACAUGCCCUUCUCAUCCUUGAUAAAAUAUCAAUUGGUGCAGAUGAAGAACCAAUUGUGCAGGAUUGCAGGACCAUAUUGCAUUUUUCUGCUGUUAAAAGAUCACUGAACAACAAGGAGUUGAAAAAUACAUAACGUAUUUGGGCUUGUUUCUUAGGAAAAGAUGAUCUGCUGCCUUGAAAAUACCUGCUACAAGGUCAACAGCUUCAAAUUGAAUUGGAGAAAUAUCACAUUAGUGCUGUUGCCCCAGUCCUGAUUGAAAUUCACAUCACACAGGAACAUAAAAACACUUUUGGAGAGAGGAUGUUUCAUCAUCUAAUCACAGGACAGUUUUCAAGAUGCAUAGAAGAACAAAGUGAAUUAGAAGGAAUGUUUUAAUACUAUCAAAAUAAAAAGCAGGAAUUAGGACUAUCAUCAUUUCAAACACACACAAAUAAUAAAUUAAAGUCCUGUAUUCACCUGCAUCUCUAUUUUUCU